GGAUUUGAUGAGCCGGCAUGUAUGCCAAGCGAAAUGCAUCAUAAACCACCAGGAAAAAACGAAGAAAAUUACGGCGUUUUAGCCACCAAAACCACCAUUUGUUAUGCACCUUUUAAAAAUGGCAUGUAAUUGACGCUGAGUGGUAUGGCAAGCCAAAGGGGCUAAUAAUCGCCAGGUAAAGCGCCGUAAAAAAUGACGUAUUGGCCAUGAAAAACGCAACUUUUUCCUUACCCUUUAAUUUCUGGAUAAUCUUGGUUGGAACGUUUUAGAUAUUGAUGCCAAACAAUUUAAUUUCGAUUUCUGAGUUUAGAUAGAAAGUACAGUUGAGCGCUAAAAGCAGUCUGGUAACACAAGAAAAGUUGCAUGUGGAACCUAAGGUUGGGUACCGAAGUUCAGUUCCAAGUAGGAACCGUUAUGAUUUUCGCGGUUCUACCGAAACCGAAAGAAGCUGCUGCAAACGGUGUCAGUGGUUAGUUUCAUUGAACAUCUGUUGGUCUUUGUACAUGUCAAUCACUUCUACUCUCUUCAGUACUUUGAAGUUCUAGCCAAUCCCAUUGCCUUUCCUGCAAUAGUGGGCGGUCUCAUAUAAAACCAUUGACUGGGUGAGCACACGAACACGCGCAGCGCUCGAGUGUCUGGCUGCAUUUCACAAAAGAUCAAUUUGGCAGGUCGCUGCGUUGCAUCAACCAAUCAGGAACUCAGCUUUGGACAGCGCGGUGGUUCUCUGGCUGGAGGCUCCCGGACUACAGCGGCGCUCACGAGCUCCACCGACCGCGAGAGAGACAACCGCUGAGGGGAGCGGGGAGCGCGGGCAGCCAGCUCGGGUCUCCUGAACUGUGAUAUUUUAUUUAUUUUCAUUGAGACUAGGGCUGUGGAUCAUUGCUAAGGUGGCAAUCCAAUUCGAUUCACAAAUCGAACCACGACACAGAAACAGCGGAAGCGACUGUAAUUCCAACACACCUCCCCGAGUAAGAUUAAAACCCUGUAACCCCUCAGACAAGCUCAGGAUCACAUGUUUAACAGGUCCCGAGCUGCAAAUUCGCUAUGCAGCGAAAGAGGGGAGGACCGCCACUUUGUGGCUGGGAGGUUGUGGAGCUCUGAUUUAAUGGGAACAGCCAGCACGUCAAAAAACGACACUCAAAACGUCACUUUUUGAUGGAGGUCUUGACAACCGCUUUUGCACUGGAACACCCCCCACCCCCGGGGCCGUAAGGUUGGGGACCACUGCUGUAGAUUGCGGCUGUGACCUAGAAGUUGAUGCUAGGCCACACUCCCUUCUGUGACAGUCAUGAACGGUGUUAUAGAGGCUUGGUUUUGAAUACGCUUGAACAGCAUACUGGAUGCGCGGUUUUGAACUCGAUAAAAUGCUGCUUUAUUCACCCAUCUUGGUAGAAGACAAAAUGGCAUGAACUAGGUGCUACUUUAAAAAAACAAAACAAAAAAAA